UGUCUAGUACAUGCCGUACCAAGGCGAAACCGUCUGUAAUGGCUCAUUAAAUCAGUUAUGGUUCCUUGGAUCGUACCCCACUACUUGGAUAACUGUGGCAAUUCUAGAGCUAAUACAUGCAGCAGAGCUCCGACCUUCGGGGACGAGCGCUUUUAUUAGACCAAGACCAAUCGGGCCUCGUGUCCGUGAAACGUGGUGACUCUGUAUAACUUUGGGCUGAUCGCACGGGCUUGUCCCGGCGACGUAUCCUUCAAGUGUCUGCCUUAUCAACUGUCGAUGGUAGGUUAUGCGCCUACCAUGGUCGUAACGGGUAACGGGGAAUCAGGGUUCGAUUCCGGAGAGGGCGCCUGAGAGACGGCGACCACAUCCAAGGAAGGCAGCAGGCGCGCAAAUUACCCACUCCCGGAACGGGGAGGUAGUGACGAAAAAUAACAAUACGGGACUCUUUUGAGACCCCGUAAUUGGAAUGAGUACACUCUAAAUCCUUUAACGAGGACCCACUAGAGGAAAAGUCAGGUGCCAGCACCCGCGGUAAUUCCUGUUCUAGUAGUGUAUAUUAAAGUUGUUGCGGUUAAAAAGCUCGUAGUUGGAUCUCAGUUCGAGUCGGGUGGUCCCCCAACCGGGGGCUACUGCCUGUUCUCAACACCGGCCGGUUUCUCUAGAUGAUCUUCACCGGUUGUCUUGGGUGACCGGCAAGUUUACUUUGAAAAAAUUAGAGUGCUCAAAGCAGGCGCGACGCCUGAAUAAUGUUGCAUGGAAUAAUGAAAUAGGACCUCGGUUCUAUUUUGUUGGUUUUCGGAACAAGA
rnacentral:rRNA from 1 species